rnacentral:rRNA from 1 species
ACACGUAGCUAAUCUACCCUUAGGUCGAGGAUACCGUCGGGAAACUGACGAUAAAACUUGAUACGAGAUUUUUUCUGGAAUGGGAAAUCUCUGAAAUUCGCGCCUAAGGACGAGGCUGCGGCUGAUUAGGUUGUUGGCGGGGUAAUAGCCCACCAAGCCAUUGAUCAGUAAGGGCCCUUAGCGGGGGAGCCCUGAGAGGGAGUCUGAGACACUACUCCCAGCUUUACGGAGUGCAGCAGGUAGGGAUUUUUUGCAAUGCGCGCAAGCGUGACAGGGCGAGCCAGAGUGUUUUUCCUUUUGGAAAAACUUUUGCCAGCUGUAAAAAGGCUGGCGAAUAAGGACUGGGCAAGACCGGUGCCAGCCGCCGCGGUAAUCCCGGCGGUCCAAGUCGCAGCCAACUUUAUUGGGUCUAAAACAUCCGUAGCUUGCUUUGAAAGUCUGUUGUGAAAUUCUGUCUCUUAAGGGCAGAAACUGCAAUAGAUACUACAAGGCUAGAGUCCGGUGGACGUAAGGAGUACAUUUAAGGUAGUGGUAAAAUACGUUAAUCUUAAAUGGACUAACAACAGCGAAGGCACCUUACGAUGACGGUACUGACAGUGAGGGAUGAAGGCUAGGGGCGCAAAGUGGAUUAGAUACCCAUGUAGUCCUAGCAGUAAACACUGCGCACUAAACCUUGUGACCUCCUCG